UACGAAGGGGGCUAGCGUUGCUCGGAAUUACUGGGCGUAAAGGGCGCGUAGGCGGACAGUUAAGUCGGGGGUGAAAGCCCGGGGCUCAACCCCGGAAUUGCCUUCGAUACUGGCUGUCUUGAGUUCGGGAGAGGUGUGUGGAAUGCCGAGUGUAGAGGUGAAAUUCGUAGAUAUUCGGCGGAACACCAGUGGCGAAGGCGACACACUGGCCCGAUACUGACGCUGAGGCGCGAAAGCGUGGGGAGCAAACAGG
rnacentral:rRNA from 1 species